CGAGGCUGCUGUGCGUGGGGACAGUUGGGGGUCACGGCUGGGCAGACCUUGGGGCAAGGGCAGGGGCAUGGUCCCGUGUCUCCCAUCCCAUGGUGACGUCCCUGCUGUCUCCUUGCCCGCAGGCCCCGCAGACCGGAUGCUGUGGUGCGGCACCGUGUGUGAGCGUAGGGGAGCGAGAGCCCAGGCCCUGGUGUGGGGAGGCCUGUCCUGGUGGCUUUGCUGGAGCCCAUGGCAGCCGUGGCCCUUCCCUUGGCAGCCCUGCUGCAGCCUGAGAUGUACAAGACACUUAAUCUUUGUAUUGUUCUGCUUGGAACUGAGACGUGGACAGAAGUGGACAUUUACUCAUUGGCUGGACCAUGCUUUUCACUUUUUUACUCCAUGGACUAGAUAGUUCCUUAAACCCUGCAUACACUUUGACCGUGCACAAUUACUCCUGUAAGAGGCAGACACUAUCGAGGCACACUAGGACUGGUGACACAAGGAACUGUAUGCAACACAGAUGCCUCAACAUCUAUUAUUAGGAUCGGCACUUCAGGAACAACUCGUUCUGUUCUCUCCUUUGAUCUGGGGGAUCGUAACAGGUUCCUGCCAGUGUCCCGUCCUGUGUGACACACAUUCGAGGUCCUGCUGUUGGGAGCCAUCACUUCUUGUAAACCGAGGCACUGCUCUCAGUGCCUCCCUUCUGCUCUGGUACCCACUUUGUGCUUCAACCAACUGGUCAUUUUAAAAGUUUAGUCCAAUGACUCGUCCCACAAAUUUCAAUCAUACCUCCCCUGCAUCUCCUUUUCUACAGCCUAACCACUCUCAGUUGUUUAACUUUUUCCCAACAGCUUGAAUUUCAACUGCUACAGUAGGCUGGGGCAGAUGGUUGUCUGACUCCAUUGUCUCAUUACUUGAGACCUGCAAGCAAACUUCAGGAUCCCAUCCCGACUUGAAGUUACUACUUAUGAGCUUAUGUAAGGAAUCAGCCUCUUCCAAGGAAAGCUCUUCCUUGGCACUCCCCAGAAAGUUUUGUUUGGUCUCUAACCUGAUGGACCCCUACAGCCAACCCUGGCAUGGGUUUCCAAGCGGUGUUGAGACCCUGCCUCCUUGUUGGCCUUUGUGCAUUAGACAGCCUGUCUGCUCCCACGGCUGUGACUGUGUGACCCACACUCCUAGAGACCAGGUAACCCCUGCUGCCCUUUCUGAACCAUUCUCAUGCAUACACAGAUACCUAUAAGGCAAUUCCCAAAAAGCAAACCUUUAAAUGCCAUUUUCUAAGCCAACAGGGGAGAGGGAGGAAUGCCAUGUCCCAGCCAACACAGCAGACUGCUUCCCUUCAGUUUUUCUUGUGCCGUUGCCAUUCCCUUGUUCUCCCUGGGACUCUUGCUUUCCUCCUCCUGCUCCCUCCAUGCCUCUUCAGUGACCUUCAGGUGCAGUGUGCCACAUCGGCAACAAAACUUAAAAGACUAACAUCAACUCACCCUGCUCUCCUAGGUAUCCCACUUAUGAACCUAUCUAUAGCAAAGGGUACUCACAUUGAGCCCCUCAAAAUCUCCCCCACCAGGACGCUAGAUCCUUUCGAGGGAGCCGGGGGUACCACACCUAUCAGCACCGUUAGGUGGGCAAAUGUGAUUCACAAGAUGCACCCAGAGAUUUCCAAGAGAAAUCCAGAGUUGUGGUCUUUUUGAGUUCUUUGCAACAGAAAACUGCUGUGUUGUUUUUCAGUAGUUAAAAAAGAGUAAAAAUGAAGAGCUGAUGUUUUCUGAGGGGUUCCUCCAAUCGAUCCAGGUUGAGAACCACUGCACUAGCUAUAUCCAGUUGAAUUCGUUACCUAUAUAGUGAACAUUUCUACCACUGCUGGAGCACGGUCUGGGCUAGAUGGACCAUUGGUCUGACCCAGUACGGCACAUCUUUUGUUCUUAUGCCCCUUUCAAGUGCCUGAUUUGGGAGCUACUUAAUUACUUCCAGUAUGUUUAUUUUUUGGUUGCUAAUGGCAAGCCCCUUCCCCAUUUUGUAUGCACACCUCAGCUCCCUACUCUUGCCCCCCAAACUUCCCUCCCUCCCGAGUACUGCAUGCAUGUGAUGUCAAUGUGUUAAUGCAUGAGGGAGUGUAAUCAUGAACUACCAGGGCAGAGGAAGAUCUUAGGUGAAGAGAAAUGGUACAACAGAUAAAGUGAACAAAUGAAAAUACAUAUUCUGUAGUCCAUAUUGUUCUUCUAACUAAGAAUAUACAUGAACAAACUGCAGAAAGAUCUUGGGUCAAGCAGAAGGUCUCUGAAACAUCAUCAACACGAGUAUAUGGCAAUCAUUUACUAUAAAACCCCACAAGUAGAUGGCACCUUGUUUUUAAUGCUUGUUCUAUUUGCAGAUGUACAAGACACUUAAUCUUUGUAUUGCUCUGACUGGAACUGAGACACAGACAGAAGUGGACCACAUAACAGUUACUCAUUGACUGGACCAUGCUUUUCACUGUUUUUACUCCAUGGGCUAGACGGUUCCUUAAAUCCCGUGUACACUUUGACCGUGCACAAUUACUCCUGUAAGAUAGUCAUUCAUUUUCGUAAGACUAUGUAGAUAGUGUUUCUGAUGUGUAUUAGCAUCAGUAUUAAAUGCACAUUCCUCAGCUUUUAUGAAA